GAUGAACGCUGGCGGCGUGCCUAAUACAUGCGAGUCGAGCGAACGGACGAGAAGCUUGCUUCUCUGAUGUUAGCGGCGGACGGGUGAGUAACACGUGGAUAACCUACCUAUAAGACUGGGAUAACUUCGGGAAACCGGAGCUAAUACCGGAUAAUAUUUUGAACCGCAUGGUUCAAAAGUGAAAGACGGUCUUGCUGUCACUUAUAGAUGGAUCCGCGCUGCAUUAGCUAGUUGGUAAGGUAACGGCUUACCAAGGCAACGAUGCGUAGCCGACCUGAGAGGGUGAUCGGCCACACUGGAACUGAGACACGGUCCAGACUCCUACGGGAGGCAGCAGUAGGGAAUCUUCCGCAAUGGGCGAAAGCCUGACGGAGCAACGCCGCGUGAGUGAUGAAGGUCUUCGGAUCGUAAAACUCUGUUAUUAGGGAAGAACAUAUGUGUAAGUAACUGUGCACAUCUUGACGGUACCUAAUCAGAAAGCCACGGCUAACUACGUG
rnacentral:rRNA from 1 species